GGAAGUGUGUCGUGGGCUCGUGUGCGCGCUUGAAGUCGAGGUGCGUCCCUCUGUGACGCUAGCAACAAUGUCCCUCGGUUAGGCUUGUCCCUCGGAAAUGUGUUGGCUGUUGAGGCGCUGGAUUGGUCCCACGGUGCGGAGUCGGUAGUAGCGGCAUCCCACGGACGUUCCGAGGCUUCUACUGUGACAGGUCCUGCACGGAAGGAUGUGGUGCUUGGUGAAGUCCUUAGGGGCUCAAGCGCAAUCAUCCGGAAGUGUGUUGUGGGCUGGUUUUCAUGGUCGAAGUCAAGGUGCGGUGGUGUGGGACGCACGCAACAAUGCGAUCAGUCGGUGUAGGCUUGUCCCACGGAAAUAUGUGCGCACCUCGGGAAAUGUGUGCGCACCUCGGGAAAUAUGUGCGCACCUCGGGAAAUAUGUUGCCUGUGAGACCCUUUUCGCCAUGGAAGGACGUGGUGUUAGGUGAUGCCCUGAGGGCUGAGCCUGUUCGUCGGAAGUGCGUUGC
rnacentral:lncRNA from 1 species